UUAAAAUUGUUAUGUUAUUUGUUGACAUAUUUAUUCAUGUGAGUGAUAAAUUUAGCGGCCAUCUCGACAAUGCGGUGCGGCGAAACGCAGAAGAGCAGUAAAGUACGGAUAACUGCACGUCUUGCCUCUUACCUUUCCAUCACGUCAAGACGCCGCCGCGCAUCGACCCCGAUGGUAGUUACGUCACAGAUUAAUAGUAAUCUGUGGUCACGUUAUGUGCGCUCACGUCUUUUGUGUGCGUACACUGUUCGGGCGCCAGAACUAGGAGCUUAGUGUUGAACAUUCCCCAAAACAACACUGUGUGACAAGAGGUUACACGUACAUUACAACGUAUCAGAUCGCACGUUUAUAUAGAGGAAAAGCCUGCCAGAAACGCACAAUUAAAUCGUGGUACUUUGUCCCUGGAGGGACGGAAAUCCAUUGGGCCCUAAAGAAGAACGUACAGUUUCAGUAUUUUCGAUGUUGACGGCGAUGGCGACGUAAUGACGAAUUUCGUGUAUCUUCGCUAGAAAUUGUUAAUCGUUUUCUCGAGCCCAUGAGACAAGAGCUUCACCUGCUGGAAACAUAAAGAAGAUAAGAUCAUUAUAUCUACCAACAAAGAGUUCAAAAUUGCACUGGAGAGCAUAGUUAAGAAAUAUAUUAAUGUAUAUUUUCCUGAACUGUACAUUUUCCUGAAAUUAAAGCAAGACACGAUAGACAUGUCAAAUAUAGAAAAAAAUAUUGCAUCCUGUUGUGAUAUGUUGUGUAUGCAACAAGUAUAUACAUGGUUUUUGCUUCAAGUGCGUGGAAUGUCUGGAUUACAACUUGUGCACUAAUUGCAUGAAUCUUGGCAAUCAUUCAGAGCAUUGCAUGGUCCGCAUGACACAACCUAUUGAGUCGGGCUACCAUGGUCGCUGGUUUGCUCAUGACUUGCGCAAAUUUAUGAAAAAGACAGUGCAGCACUGCAAAGAGGAUGAGCAUAGAUACACACCGCAUAAGCACAAACAAACUAGCUAUUCAAUGUGCAGCACAGUUGGUAAGUUUGGCCCUUUUGAUCUAUCUGUCAUAAACAUACUAGAGAAUUUUAUUAUAGAUACUUGUACUGUUUUGUCAGGCAAAAACUAUAAGGUUUGUCACAAGCAGAAGUGGCCUAAGGAACCAUCUGCCGAAGCAAUCAGGCACUCUUUCUUGCAGUUGUUAAAAAUUGUUAAAGAUAACAUCUUGGACAUCUUACAGUUCCUGAAUCUAUUCGGUAUCAACGUUACCAUGAUGACCGACAAUGAUUUCACUAAGAAACCCACAGACAAUGCACAGAUGAAGGCUAGCAUGCAAAAGCCUGAGCUCUGCGCAUUUACGUUUUCAAAGGACUCCACUAAGAAAUUUCCAAGUGAGACAAAGAAGCUGCGCGAUGAACCUGUAAAUACUGCAGGUGCUCCUUUAACAGAUAACGCAUCAUUACAAAAGGAAUCAGCAACAGCAACUUUUCCUGAGCAAGCAGUCGAAGCUGAGGAAUGGUCGAUGAUACAAUGCGAAAGUUCCAAUAUUAGCCAUGCUUCGUCUUCAUUGAAUGCAAAUGGAACUAUGCCUAAGGAGAUGUGCCCCGCAUAUGUGUAAAUUGAAAACUAGAUGAUUAGAAUAUGCAGAAUCAGUAAAAUAACGGUUUAAUGAUCUAAAUUUGAAAUAUAUUUAAUCUUAAAUUUUACUUUUUAGAUAUAAUAUAGCAUAAUAUUAAAACAUUAGGAUAUAAUUAAGAAUUUAUAUUUAUAAUAUUUUAACAUUUCACAAUCUUGCAAAGGAUUCAGAAUUUGAAGAGCUGGUAGAAUUUAUUACUUGCUUUAUUAAAUAUUGCUUCUAAUUCUGGCAGAAUUACUUUUGCGAUUUAUUAUAAGUGUACGCUGACGCUAUCAGUGUCAAAAGAUAUUGCGUGACCAAAAAUUACUAAUUGAUAUCUUUCUUUUUGAUCAUGUGAUGUGACCAAAUAUUUGAUAAAAAUAUCAAUUUAUUUGACGCCUUUUGACGUUGAAAGUGACCGUUACCAUAAAAAGGCAUUCUAAUUGGUACUAUUAUGAUACUAUGGUUACAGUAAUGGCGACACUAUCUGCGCCGACAGCGCCAGAAAAAGAACCGUUAAAUCGGAAAAUGGACCCAUCCUUACCUGAAGAAGUAAGGCAAGAGUUCUAUCAUCUAAAUCCUAAGAUUCAACAGAUCGUACAAGAAAUGAUGGCGAUUGAGUUCUCCAACGAGGAUUCAUGGCUCACUCGUCUGUACAAAAUGGUGACAUCUACAAAGCAUUAGAUGUAAUUUAUGCAGUACGCUGUCAUUAGAAGGAAUAGGGCCAAAACUAUAUAUAGUUAAUAGUAGUUUAUGUAAUAAACGAUAAAAUAACAAAUAUAUUGUGUCGAUAGUUUGUAAUUACUAUUGAUUAUAUAACAUCUUUUCUGUAUUGUUGGUUUUAUUUUACACGUAUUAUGGUUCUUUUUAGGAACUUGAACAAUGCAUAAUUUUAAAUUUAUACUUUUAACAGAUCAUAUAUAUCUCAAUAUACUACUUUGUAUUGCUAAAUUUUAUGUUGUGGACGUAUAUUGACAUUAUUUUACAAAAAAUAUUACAAUAUGGUUUGUGUAACAUAU
rnacentral:misc_RNA from 1 species